UGGCUGUGGCUGUGGUGUAGGCCAGUGGCUACAGCUUCGAUUCGACCCUUGGCCUGGGAACCUCCAUAUGACACUGGAGCCGCCCAAGAAAUGGCAAAAAGACAAAAAAAAUUUACUUGACUGAAGUAGAGUUGAUUUACGAUGUUGUGUUAGUUUCAGGCGUACAGCAAAGUGACUCGUGUAUUUGUGUGUGUGUGUGUGUGUGUGUACACGUAUAUCUGAUGUGUAUGUAUAUACACACACAUCCUUUUUCAUACUCCUUUCCAGGGUGGUUUGUCACAGGAUGCUGAAUGUAGUUCGCUGUAGGGCAGGAGCCUGUUGUUUGUCCAUCCUGCAUACGUCUGCCUCUGCGAGACCCAAGCUCACUCCCAGUCCUUCCCUGCCCCACCCGCCUCCCCUUCGGCAGCCACAAGUCUGUUCCCUCUGUCCCAGAGUCUGCUUCUGCCUCGUAGACACGUUCGUUUGUGUUGAGUGUUUGUGAAGUUUCGUUAGAGUUGCUUUACGCGGGUGUGAUCAUGUCCGCUCUGCAACAACGUGAUUCAGGGACCCCUGUACCCACAGCCUUUCUCUCCCAGAUUCUCUUCCCACACAGAGGAUCCCAGAAUAUCGGGUAGAGGUCUCUGGGCUGCACGGCAGGUCCCCACUGGCCAGGACAACUCAGCGUACAGAUGCCAGUCCCAAACCCCAGGCUAUCUCUCCUCCCCCACAACUGUCCGCUUUGGUAACCGUACGCUUGUUUUCGAAGUCUGCCUGUCUGUUUCUGUUCUGCAGAUCAGUUUGUGCCACAUUUGAGACGCCACGUAUAAAUGAUAUCAUGUGACAUUUGUCUUCCACUGUCUGACUGACCUCACUUAGCAGGAGCAUCUCUAGGUCCGUCCCUGUUGCUGCAAACGGCAUCAUUUCACUCUUUUUACGGCUAACACUCCAUCGUGUAUAUGGACUACGUCUUCUUGAUCCAGUCCUCUGUUGAUGGACGUUUGGGGUGCUUCCAUGUCUCAGCUGUUGUGCAUAGAGCUGCAGUGAAUACUAGGGCGCACGUAUCUUUGUGAAUUACUGGUUCCUCCAGAGAGAGGCCCAGGCGUGGGAUUGCUGGUGGCAGUUCUGGUUUUAGUUUUUGCGUCCCCUCCGUACUGUUCCCCACAGUGGCAGCACCAGGUGACCUUCCCACCAGCAGUGUAGGUAGGUGGUUUUCUGAUCCCUGGCCUGGAGGACGAGAGUCCAGAGGGAAAGAGAAACUUUCCAUCCCCUCUUCCCUUCCGUGCAGUUCACGGGAUCCACAAACAACGCCUCCGGGAGAGGAACUGUUUUUAUCCUCAACACACUGAGUUGGAACCGCUAUUAAGAAAACUGCACAAGAACCCAGCUGGGAAGUGAAAGAGCCAAAACGCACUCCCACGCCGCGUUACUCCACAGCCUGCUCACUGCCACGUGUUACUACCCCACGGCUACGGGCGAGGGCUCGCUGCCUGGGGGGCACGGCAGCCAGCACCGCAGGCCCAGCUUUUGAGGAAAGAGGAGGCUUUGUUGCCAGGCCCAUGGCCAGGAAACAGGAGGCAGGGCUUCCAUCUGUCUUUCCCGUCCAGGGUUCAGGGUAAAAUUUAAGGGGUUCAGGGGACUUCAGACGUGGAAGCCAAUGGGCUCGUCUCAGUCUGUAGAAGCUGCUGGACGCCAGACUUUCCUCAUUGAAGGACGUCUCCCUUCCUCAAGGGCCCUGCCUGUAACACUUGCAUCCUUUGGGUCGCAGACUGAAGAGUCUUGGUUCCAGGGUCCCCUGAGAACGUGGGUUCCCAGGCUGGGGGUCCAAUCAGAGCUACAGCUGCUGGCCUCCACCACAGCUCACAGCUACGCCAGAUCCGAGCCUUGUCUGUGACCUAAACCACAGCUCACAGCAAUGCUGGAUCCUUCACCCACCAGAGGCCAGGGAUCAAACUUGCAUCCUCAUGGAUCCUCGUCGGCUUCAUUACCACAAGGGGAACUCUCUCGGGUCUCAUUUUAAAACCCAUUCCUGUUGAUGGAUGAGGUCUACGUAUAUCCUCAGGUGUCUUGAGGGACUUGUGAUCCCCCCGCUUCCCCCCCCACCACACACACACACAGCCCUUCCACACGGAUGGCCGGUUGGGGCUGGAGAAACACAGUUCCCUCCAUCUCUUCAGCACCCCCCACCAGGGGGUGAGAAGCAGCCCUGAGUGUGCAAGGACCUCCCCACCCCUCCGUGUUCGUCUCUCUCCCUUCAUCCUCUCCAUCCCCUGCGUCCAGGACACCUCCGAGCCCUCUCCCUGCACUGUCCCCGCUGAUGAGCAGCAAAACCCCUGGCUGACCACGCUGCCUCCACACCAGCCCUGGACGACUUUCUCCUUUUUAAAAAUCUUCCGCCAUGUUCACUUGACCCAAGGAACCCUUGUGUGACCACGUCGAAGUUUCAUCGGCAUCCCAAGGACAAGCCCCGCGCUCCAGCCUCCGACUCGCUGUGCGGGGGUCUCGGGUGUGCCUCGCAGUGACAGCGCUUCUCCGUCUGAAAGUUACCUUGAUCACAUACCCUUGACACAUUUCAGGAUUUCUUAUGAUCGACGGUGGCGAGAGAGGUUGCCGGCAGCCAAGCGUCCCAAACACACCUUGAAAUGUUCCCAUAACUAGUCGAGUCUGUUUUCCGAAUUGAUUUUACGCCGUUAAGAUGGAAUCAACUGCAAACAUCCCACCCUGUCCGUUGCUGAGCUACAUCUCACGGCAGGGGCAGGUCUUGUCGUGGUGGGGGUGGGUCCUGUGGCGGGGACGGGUCUUGUCACAGUGGGGAUGGGUCUUUUCAUGGCGGGGACGGAUCUUGUUGUUGUGGGGACGGGUCUUUUCAUGGCGGGGAUGGGUCCUGUCAUGGUGGGGACGGGUCUUCUUGUUGUGGGCAUGGGUCCUGUCACAGUGGGGACGGGUCUUUUCAUGUCGGGGAUGGGUCUUGUUGCGGGGAUGGGUCUGGUCACAGCAGGGAUGUGCCAGGGGUUGCAGAUAAAGGGCACUGGUCAGCUUGUAGAUGUUGUGCGUAUGGAGCUGCUGUAUAUAUACCCUUGCAUUCACAUUUUUCUCAGUGUAAGUCCUUUUUUGUAGAUUGAACAGCUCAGAGUGGGAAAUUUGGGUCAAACGGUAAAAGUGUGUUUAAUUAUAAAAGAGAGGGACCAGAGUUCCCUGGUGGCUCAGCGGGUUAAGGAUCCAGCGUUGUCACUGCAGUGGGUUCGAUCUCUGGCCCUGGAACCUCCACAUGCUGCAGGCACGGCCAAAAGAAAUUUUUUAAUAAAAAAUUUUAAAAAGAGACAGACUGUCUUCCUGGUGGAUGCGCCAUUCCACACCCCUCAGCAGCGGUGGGAGUUGCAGCUGCCCCACAACCCUUGGGAGGGUCAGUGGUGCUCCCGAGGCUCCCAGAGGCCAUGUGAUGUCUGACUGCACCCAGCUUCAGUCCUCCCGGGGCUGGUGAUGCAAACCUUUUCAAGUGCCUCCCCAGACCCUUCCUGGUGAACCGUCUGUGCAAGUCUCCUUUUUCAUUUUCUGAUUUUGAUUUCAGGCUGCACCCAUGGCAUGUGAAAAUUCCCAGGCCAGGGAUCAAACCCUCAUCACAGCAGUGACCUGAGCCUCUGCUGUGACAACAUCAGACCCUUAACCCUCUGUGCCACCAGGGAACUCCUGCAAGUCUCUUUUUUUUUAGAGUAAAAGUGUAUAUAUGUAAGGAGUUCCCAUCGUGGCGCAGUGGUUAACGAAUCUGACGAGGAACCAUGAGGUUUCGAGUUCGAUCCCUGGCCUUGCUCAGUGGGUUCAGGAUCUGGCGUUGGCAUGAGCUGUGGUGUAGGUCGCAGCCGCGGCUUGGUUCCCGUGUUGCUGUGACUGUGGUGUAGGCCGGUAGCUACAGCUCCGAUCAGACCCCUAGCCUGGAACCUCCAUGUGCCGCGGGUGUGGCCCUAGAAAAGGCAAAAAGACCACAAAAAAGUGCACAUAUGUAAGGUGUACAGCAUGAGUUGUUAUACACACACAUAGUGAAAUGAUUACCACACUAAUUCACAAACACAGUUGCCCUUGAGAGCCCCUGAAAUCUCCCCUCUGAGGAAAUGUCCAGUAUUCCCCACGCUGUUAUUAACCGCAGUCACCGGGCUGCACGCAAGCUCUCUCGACUCACGCACCCCACAGACCUUCAGCCAUCCUCCCCCCCACAACCGCAGUUCUACCCCCGGCUUCUAUGCAUUUGCCGUUUUCAACUUCCACGGGUGUGAAAUCUUUUUUUCUUUUUCUUUCUGUGCCUGGCUUAUGUAAUGUACCCUGCUGUCCUCCAAGCUCACCUGUGUUUGUUUCAAAUGGAAGGACCCCUUUCCUGUUUAAGGCUGCGUCAUAUUCCAUCGUACCUGGACCCCACCAUUUCUUUAUCAGUUCGUCUGUCUGUGGACACGUAGGCUGUUCGGGUCUUUUGCCUGCUUGCUGACUGGCUCAUUUGUCUUUAUGCAGAGAUGUCUUUGUUCCUCUCCCCUCACUGAUUUUAUGAGUAAGCACAUGGAAGCACAGAGAGGUUAAGUGACUUGCCUGAAUAUGCACAGCUGAUAACCAGCAGAGCCAGAAAACAGGAAUCCACGCCACCUCCUUGGUGGGAAGAACAGCAGAGAGGAGAGAGGCCCUUACUCCUUGUGAGUGUGUGUGUGUGUGUGUGUGUGUGUGUGUGUGCACUCAGUUCUGACUUUUACAAACAUGCGGCCAUUCCAUGUUCUGAGACACGCUCCAGACACGGAUUGUUCAAGGAUCUCCACAGGGCCUGGCCGGUACCCACCUCGGGGCCUUUGCACCUGCUAUGCCCUCAGCCAGGAAAGGGGAAGGACUUUCUCUUUCCCGUCAUCCCCUUCUCAUGUCAAGUCUCAGCCCCCACAUCACAGCCUCCGAGGGCCAUGUCCAAACUUACCCUCUGGGGUUGGCUCAUUAAGCUGCUGACCGCCCCUCUUUCCAAGGCGGGUUUAAACUCUACGUGCUCAGGCAGCUUGUUCAGGAUGGGUCAUCCUUCAUCCACCACUGGCUCCCGGGAGGGAGGGACCUGGGUGGGCCUGGCCUCACCAGGUGAACCUUCCAAAGCUGAGCCUUGGCUCAGACUGGUCAGCUGCUCCCAGAGAAACACAGAGACAGGGUCCCGCCGGCCUGGACGAGGAAGAAGCAGCUGCGGUUGUGUGCAUCCCUGGAGGAGGACGCAGCCCCCCUCGGACAGGCAGAGAGACGACUCGCCCCCGAGCCCAGCAGCCGCAGGGGAAGGUCUGCCUGCAGCCAGGCGGGGGCGUGUGCGCGCACAUGCGCGUGUGUGCCCUCGGGUAAGGCCCCGGCCUGGAGAACACGGUGACCGACUCAGCGACCCACGCACGGGACCCUGAGCCGGGAAGCCGGCAUACGGUACCCUUUGUGCCGCCUUAAGCGGCUGAGUCGGUGGUGACUUGUGACACAGCAGCAGAAAACCAGCCCGCCUUCCACGGGCCAUUCCACGGACACUGCCUGACCUGCUCACGGCUGCCCCCGAAGCCCCCACGCAGGGCGGAGGCGGGGGUCCAGGAGGUCUGCUCGGCCCCCCUCGCACCCCCAGACCCUCGUGAUGGGGGCUUCCGUUCUCGAGUUAGAGGGAACGCUUUGGGGCCAUCGGUGAGUUAUGGGACCAGCCGGGUGUCACAGACCUGGUCCCCAGCCUGGCUUUGCUCCUUCUGGCUGGUGUCAGAAGCUCUGUGACCCCAAGCGGUUCCUUCAUAAAGUGGGGCCCGUUCAGUGCCUUCCCCGUGGGCUCGUGGAAUUGAAUAACUGGAUCUGUUUCUAAAGCACUUGGCACAGGGUCUGGAAACGCCGCCGACCUGUUACCUGAAGUCACUGCAUCCAGACCUGCCCUCCCACAUGUAUAACAUCUGUGCCAGGGCACACGCAGGCGCUGUUAAAUGUCUCUCUCACAUACACACACACACAGAGUCCCAAACAGACACCCUCCCCCUUCCAAAGCCCAGAUCAUCAGCAUUUGUUCAGUAGGCACGUCAUUGACACUGAGCAGCCUCAAGACGCUGUGCAGGACGCAUAGGGCAGCAAACUACAUCCUUGCAAAAUACAGCUGCGAAAUGACCGAUUCUCAAACGGUAGAGGGAACACUGCUUAGACACAGAAGGCAGCGGUACAUUUGCCAGACAGAUGGGGAGCGUCGGCGGGUCCCUCCCUGCUCUGGAAAGCUUGCUCGCCCGCGCGCGCGCGCGCUGUGCGUGCCAGGCUGCGUUCAAGAGCACCGUUCCCAUCCCCUGGUUGGAAUCUAGCCUGGCUUUCAGCUCGGUGGAAAGGCCGUGGGAUUCUGGAGAGCGGAGGGUCUGUCCUGGCCGCUUGGCCUCGGGUGACAAUUCUUUUUGUUCGAAUCUAAGCAUGGUUGCUCGACAGCCUUGUGCCGGUUUCUGCCGCACAGCAUAGUAACCCACUUGCACACAUGCACACACUCAUUUUUUCACACUGUCUUCCAUCGCAGUCCCUCCCAAGAGACUGGACACGGUUCCCCGUGCUGUACAGCAGGACCUCAUCGCCUAUGCAUUUCCUGUGAAGAUUCUAACGGCUUCUCGCCAUCUGUCCAUAUUCACUGGGGCCCGUCCUGGGUUGAAGGGAGUGAGGCUCUCGGCUUGGGUACAAAUUUUAAGUGUGGGGGUGAGGAGAGUGCAGACAUCUCAGUGAUCAAGAGAGAUAAUUUUUUUUUUUUUGGUCUUUUUAGGGCCACACCUGCAGCAUAGGGAGGUUCCCAGUCUAGGGGAAUCCAGCUUGGAAUCAGAGCUGUAGCCACCAGCCUACCCCAGAGCCACAGCAAUGCCAGAUCCGAACUGCGUCUGCGACCUACACCACAGCUCACAGCAACACCGGAUCCUUAACCCACUGAGCGAGGCCAGGAAUGGAACUCGCAACCUCAUGGUUCCUGGAUGGAUUCUUUUCCAAUGUACCACGAUGGGAACGCCAAGAGAUAAUAUUUUAAUGCAGCGUUUCCUUAAAAUUUCCCAGUUAAAAUGGUGGGAAAAAUCAACGAGGAAGAAAUGCCCACAUGUUAACGGAAGACGGGCUCUCGCAGGGCUGCGAGUAGGGCAAGGUGAGGCGACGAGUCCUGCAAAGCUCAGGGUGGAAAUGUUGAUGUUGCGCUCCUCACGGACUGGAGGCAUUAUCCUUUCUUUUUUAAGCAAACGGCACUGGCACCGGGGCCUUCUCGUGGCUCAGGAGCCUGAGAAUCAGGCAUGAUCCCUGCAGCAGUUCCCUUCGCUGCUGCAGUGUGGCUGCGCGACCUGGCCGGGGACUUUCGCGUGCCUCUGCUGCGCAGUAUUGCCCUGAGUCCUGAGGACUCGGCUUCCCUUACGUGGUGCGCCCAGGUGAACACCUCGGGGGCCCGCCAGCCCCUCCCCCCGCAGCAUCUCUGAUCCUUUCUCUCUGUCCCCACCGUGAAUACCCUCGUUCUUUCCACCACCGCGUCUGGCUGGAGCCGGCACAGCAAACUCCCCGCCACCUGCUGCAUCCUGGUCUGGACACGACCUCCAAGCUGCUGGCACUGAAACUCGGGGUGACUUCCUCCGCAAACCCUCCCCCCAAAGCCCACUCCCAUCAUCCUCUCCCACCGUCUAGAUGUCUCCCCCCUGCCUCCCCCACCCCCAUCCCCACCAUCGCCCAGUUUGGGUUAUAGCAACUGAUGCUGCUAUUUUCUCACCUCUUUUCAGUUCUCUGCGCCAUUUCCCAGGGUGGGGGACCGGUCACACAAGUGUGAUGUCAUUUCAGAUGGUCCGGCUCCAAGGACAAUUAAACUUUACCAUACAAUGUUAUACCCUUGGGAGUUCCCGUGGUGGCUCAGUGGAUUAAGAACCCGACACAGUGUCUGCGAGGAUGCGGGUUCAAUCCCUGGCCUCGCUCAGUAGGUUAAGGACCUGGCACUGCCACAAGCUGUGACUUAGAUAACAGAUGCGGCUCGGAUCCCGCAUUCCUGUGGCUGUGGUGUAGGUGGGCAGCUUCAGCUCCCACUCGACCCCUCGCCUGGGAACCUCCAUGUGCUGCAGGUGCCACUGUAAAAGGAAAAAAAAAAAAA
rnacentral:lncRNA from 1 species